rnacentral:rRNA from 1 species
GAUGAACGCUGGCGGCGUGCCUAAUACAUGCAAGUCGAGCGAACGGACGAGAAGCUUGCUUCUCUGAUGUUAGCGGCGGACGGGUGAGUAACACGUGGAUAACCUACCUAUAAGACUGGGAUAACUUCGGGAAACCGGAGCUAAUACCGGAUAAUAUUUUGAACCGCAUGGUUCAAAAGUGAAAGACGGUCUUGCUGUCACUUAUAGAUGGAUCCGCGCUGCAUUAGCUAGUUGGUAAGGUAACGGCUUACCAAGGCAACGAUGCAUAGCCGACCUGAGAGGGUGAUCGGCCACACUGGAACUGAGACACGGUCCAGACUCCUACGGGAGGCCGCAGUAGGGAAUCUUCCGCAAAGGGCGAAAGCCUGACGGAGCAACGCCGCGUGAGUGAUGAAGGUCUUCGGAUCGUAAAACUCUGUUAUUAGGGAAGAACAUAUGUGUAAGUAACUGUGCACAUCUUGACGGUACCUAAUCAGAAAGCCACGGCUAACUACGUG